GGGUCUUUAGCUCAGUUGGUUAGAGCGUCUGGUCGACAUCCAGAAGGUCAUUGGUUCGAACCCGAUAAGACCCACCA
rnacentral:tRNA from 1 species